rnacentral:lncRNA from 1 species
UUCUAAUCUUUCCCUACCUCUGUUGGUUCAAAUCAUCUCUCAGUUUAUUAAUCCUUGGAAAGAAUUACAUAGCGGUUAUUCACAGCUUGUAAAUUACAAUAGAAAGGUUCCUUUCAAAUGGUAGAGUUGCACUAAAGAGGAAAUUGGGUUUAUAAGAAAAUGGAGGCAAAGAACUUAAGUUUUAAGAAAAAGCACUUCAAAACAGAAGGGCAAAUGGAAAAGGGGGAUAUAAAACAAACCAAUAAAAAUACCAUCUGAGGGUGUUACUGUCCAAAAUUAAAGAAUAAGAUGCAUCACUAAGCCCUUUGCACUCGUGUUGACCUCGUAAGUAAAAAUUAUUACUUAGAAUAAUAAUAAGUGGUGCACACUACAUUCCCUGUCCCUCUUCUAGACUUUUUUUUUGUAGAAGAAUCAGAAAACAAUUUACUAACCUCCCUGUUUGAUAUUAAAAACUCAAUAGGAAGGUUUUUAAUAUUUUCUGUCAGUACAAGUUGAACUUGAUUGUGUCAACUGAAACCCUAGAGGUUUGUGUAUCAGUAGAAUGCAAGAACAUUGUUAAAGUUGCUUACAAUCUUUUUUGUUUUCCUUUCCAUUCCAUUGUAUCAAUUUUUUGAGUAACUUUCAAAUGGCUAGAAAAUGGUCUUUUUGCUUUGCCCUUUUAUAGCUGAAAUAACCAGCUCCAUUCUUUUCAUGAGUAGUAAGUUGAUAUAUUUAUUUAUCAGGUAUCUUUCAGUUGUCACUAAAUACUGUAGUUUUCUUGUGUUGUAUGGAAAUUAUAGUUCAAUUAUUCUAAUGUGAUGGAGUGCAACGAGUCAUUGUAGAACUUUUCACCUGUUAAUGUUGAAGUUAUACCUCUGAACUUCUGCUGUGGAUAUCAAGGAAAUAAUAAAGCGAAAACCCUAAGACAUUUGAAAAAAAAAAAACCCAGCCUGGGAAACAUGAUGAAAACCCAUCUCUACAAAAAAUACAAAAAUUAGCCGGGCAUGGUGGCACACACCUGUAUUUCCAGCUACUUGGGAGGCUGAGGCGGGAGAAUCACUUAAGCCCAGGAAGUGGAGGUUGCGGUGAACUGAGAUUAUGCCACUGCACUCCAACGUGGGUGACAGAGCAAGAUCCUGUCUGAAAAAAAAAAUCAAUGAAUCAAAGAAUGGUGACCCUAGUAAAUACCUGAUA